UGACUUCACUGCUGGUUGCCAUGGAAGUUCCGAUGUCACAGUGAUCACGGAUGCCGUAUCGCAGGGUGAGGGCUUCCAGGAAAGGAGCACCCCUUAACACCUCCCCAGCCAUCGGAUUCCACCUGGCCAUGUGAAGAGCUGUGCAUUUGGAAGAGAUGGCCGAGACUACAACUGACAUGCUGAUACAACGGCCGGAAGAAAGAGCAGAUGAGCACAGCCCAGAGAAAGUCAACAUGCAAAACAGAAGUACUGGAGUAACCUUUGAAACAAAGGACUUCAAAGUGACAGCAGGCUGCGUAUCUGGCACUAGCGAAACAAGUGGAACAUCCAGUGAUGGAGAUGAUGAAGAUGACCAAGAUGAAACAUACUUUUCUGUUUCUCUGUCUCCCACUGGAAUCAGAACCAGCAGGAAGAGGCCAAAGAAAAAGAGUAGGCAGUCACCAGCUCAGAAGAAAAUGAAAACAGUUGAUAUGGAAGAAGUGAUGUUGGUACCAGAAAAGGUAGAGGACAGAGAAGCAGCAGUACAGGAAAAGGGGGAGAACAGAGCAGAAAAAGCACAGCAAGCAACUGCUCAGUGUUCAGUAUCUGAAACUGUCAAGUUUGUGGUCCUUGCACUCUCUGUGUUUCUGAUCUUCGUGCAUCUGACUAUGAUGGUAAUACUAACAGUCUGCUCGUGA
rnacentral:lncRNA from 1 species